AUUGAACGCUGGCGGCAUGCCUUACACAUGCAAGUCGAACGGUAACGCGGGGCAACCUGGCGACGAGUGGCGAACGGGUGAGUAAUGCAUCGGAACGUGCCCAGUAGUGGGGGAUAGCCCGGCGAAAGCCGGAUUAAUACCGCAUACGACCUACGGGUGAAAGCGGGGGACCGGUAAGGCCUCGCGCUAUUGGAGCGGCCGAUGUCAGAUUAGGUAGUUGGUGGGGUAAAGGGCCUACCAAGCCUUCGAUCUGUAGCUGGUCUGAGAGGACGGACCAGCCACACUGGACGUGAGACACGGCCCACGACUCCUA
rnacentral:rRNA from 1 species